AUUGAACGCUAGCGGGAUGCCUUACACAUGCAAGUCGAACGGAGUGGCGAACGGGUGAGUAAUGUAUCGGAACGUGCCCAGCAGCGGGGGAUAACUACGCGAAAGCGUAGCUAAUACCGCAUACUAUUGGACCGGCCGAUAUGGGAAUAGCUAGGUUGUGGGGGAACGGCCCACCUAGGCCACGAUCCGUAGCUGGUUUGAGAGGAGGGCCAGCCACACUGGAACUGAGACACGGCCCAGACGCCUACGGGAGGCAGCAGUGGGGAAUGUUGGACAAUGGGGGAAACCCUGAUCCAGCCAGGCCGCGUGUGCGAAGAAGGCCUUCGGGUUGUAAAGCACUUUUGGCAGGAAAGCGGUACCUGCAGAAUAAGCACCGGCUAACUACGUGCCAGCAGCCGCGGUAAUUC
rnacentral:rRNA from 1 species